AGCUCCGCAAGUGUAUUCCUAUACUGUUGCGUUUAAAUAGCUCGUAGUUGGAUCUGCGUGUUGAGCGUGCGGUGCAGCCUUGCGCUGUUACUGUUCGCGGCACAUAUAUGGCAGUUGGCGGGCGAUGUUCUCAACGAAUGUCGUCAGUUGCUGCCAAGUUUACUUUGAACAAAUCAGAGUGCUCAAGACGGGCGUUUCGCUCGAAUGUUCUUGCAUGGAAUAAUAGAAUAGGACCACGCGUUCUAUUUUGUUGGUUUUCGGAACCGAGGUAAUGAUUAAGAGGGACAGACGGGGGCAUUUGUACUGCAACGUGAGAGGUGAAAUUCUUGGAUCGUUGCAAGACAAACUACUGCGAAGGCAUUUGCCAAGAAUGUUUUCAUUAAUCAAGAACGAAAGUAGG
rnacentral:rRNA from 1 species